UACAGAGGGUGCAAGCGUUAAUCGGAAUUACUGGGCGUAAAGGGCGCGUAGGCGGCCUGCUAAGUCGAACGUGAAAUCCCUGGGCUCAACCCAGGAACUGCGUCCGAUACUGGCAGGCUUGAAUCCGGGAGAGGGAUGUGGAAUUCCAGGUGUAGCGGUGAAAUGCGUAGAUAUCUGGAGGAACACCGGUGGCGAAGGCGACAUCCUGGACCGGCAUUGACGCUGAGGCGCGAAAGCCAGGGGAGCAAACGGG
rnacentral:rRNA from 1 species